rnacentral:rRNA from 1 species
UACGUAGGGUGCGAGCGUUAAUCGGAAUUACUGGGCGUAAAGAGUGCGUAGGCGGUCCCGCAAGUCCGCUGUGAAAGCCCCGGGCUUAACCUGGGAAUGGCAGUGGAAACUAUGGGACUUGAAUCUGGCAGAGGGGGGUGGAAUGCCACGUGUAGCAGUGAAAUGCGUAGAGAUGUGGAGGAAUACCGAUGGCGAAGGCAGCCCCCUGGGCCAAUACUGACGCUCAUGCACGAAAGCGUGGGGAGCAAACAGG